AGGUAGUUAUAUGACUGACGGAAGUGGAAUUGACCACAGGAAAUAUAAUGUUAAGAGCCGACCGUCUGGGCAAAGAGU
rfam:Candidatus Stoquefichus sp. KLE1796 genomic scaffold Scaffold28, whole genome shotgun sequence.